UAAUUGAAGAGUUUGAUCAUGGCUCAGAUUGAACGCUGGCGGCAGGCCUAACACAUGCAAGUCGAGCGGUAACAGGGGAAGCUUGCUUCUCGCUGACGAGCGGCGGACGGGUGAGUAAUGUAUGGGGAUCUGCCCGAUAGAGGGGGAUAACUACUGGAAACGGUAGCUAAUACCGCAUAAUCUCUCAGGAGCAAAGCAGGGGAACUUCGGUCCUUGCGCUAUCGGAUGAACCCAUAUGGGAUUAGCUAGUUGGUGAGGUAAUGGCUCACCAAGGCGACGAUCCCUAGCUGGUCUGAGAGGAUGAUCAGCCACACUGGGACUGAGACACGGCCCAGACUCCUACGGGAGGCAGCAGUGGGGAAUAUUGCACAAUGGGCGCAAGCCUGAUGCAGCCAUGCCGCGUGUAUGAAGAAGGCCCUAGGGUUGUAAAGUACUUUCAGUCGGGAGGAAGGCGUUGUUGCUAAUAUCA
rnacentral:rRNA from 1 species